CCAAUGUGCAAGCUGCAGUCUGGGUUUGUGCUGUGGCAUUGUUAGCCGGUUUGAAUUCACACCUGGCAUUGGCAGGGCCACCUGCUGGUUUUUUUUUUUUUUUUUUUUUUUUUAGACGGAGCAUUUAUUUGGGAUGAGGAAAGGAAAUUGAGCAGAAGGUACAGGAGUAAUAGCAAUUCCCUGUAGCUCUCAAAGCAAAUUUUGAGCUCAUUUUUCUUUUUCUGCAAGCUCAGCAGCAGAAUGCCCAGAGUCUUCCCUGGUAGAUGCAGAAUGCCCAGAGUCUUCCCUGGUAGAUGCAGGUUCCAUAGCGACGUUCUCCUGCAAUGCACGCUGGUAUUCUGCAAUAGCAGGCCAUGUUUUUCCUUGAGCCUGGGACAGGGAGAGCCUGGAUGCUUUGGAGCCAAGCUUUCGUCCCAUGCAAGGGAAACAACCACUUCUGGGAUGUCCGCUGCAAUCUGCUCCGGGGCUGCAGCAACCUCAUCAGCUCUUGCCUGGAGUGGCUCAGCCUGGGCCUGCAGGGCCACCAGGAGAAUGGCAGCAAGGAUGGCGAGGGUCCUCAUGGCUGGGGUGACCUGGAGGAGGGAGAGCAGGAGCAGACGAGUCGGGAGAGAGGAGUUAGCCUGGAUAUAUAGGUCUGCAGAGAGAAGGCUCG
rnacentral:lncRNA from 1 species